AUGUUGCUUCAACAGCACCUGAAUGAGGCUCACAACAAAGCUGACAAUAAAGAGGAGACACGCCAAUUGAAACAGACACUUUGGUCACUUCGUGAAUCUUCUGAGCCCUACAGAAUUCCAUUAAGAAGAGUCAGCUCUCAAGUCUUCUCUCUAGAAGGUUCCCUCUCCCAGCCUGUGCUGACUCAGCCGCUCGCCCUCUCUGCUUCUCCUGGAGCCACAGCCAGACUCACCUGCACCCUGAGCAGUGGAUUCAGUGUUGGCAGCUAUGCCAUACACUGGUACCAGCAGAAGCCAGGGAGCCCUCUCCGGUACCUCCUGUACUACUACUCAGACUCAGAUAAGCACCAGGGCCCCGGGGUCCCCAGCCGCUUCUCUGGAGCCAAAGACGCCUCCGCCAAUGCAGGCCUCCUGCUGGUCUCUGGGCCGCAGCCUGAGGACGAGGCCGACUACUUCUGUCAGAUCAAGCACAGCGGUGCUUCUCCCUGUGACCCACACAGAUGGGGAAGUGGGACAGAAACCUCAGCCUGCUCAGGGACCAAGUCCUCGACCCUCUCCAGUUUCAAAUUACCUCAACACACUCAUUGUACUUAGAGGAGCUUCCAGGCCCCAGUGUCUGUCCUGCCAGUUUUCUGUUCAGUGUGUCUGAACUCUCAGGAAACACAAAAACAACAGUGCCGUGAUGAUACAGAAAUCUUGCCUCGUUCAGUGUUUAAAAAUUCUGAAUAAAAUGAU